rnacentral:rRNA from 1 species
AGUGAACGCUGGCGGCAGGCCUAACACAUGCAAGUCGAACGGCAGCACAGAGGAGCUUGCUCCUUGGGUGGCGAGUGGCGGACGGGUGAGGAAUGCAUCGGAAUCUGCCUAUUUGUGGGGGAUAACGUAGGGAAACUUACGCUAAUACCGCAUACGUCCGACGGGAGAAAGUGGGGGACCUUCGGGCAUCACGCAGAUAGAUGAGCAGAUGCCGGAUUAGCUAGUUGGCGGGGUAAAGGCCCACCAAGGUGACGAUCCGUAGCUGGUCUGAGAGGAUGAUCAGCCACACUGGAACUGAGACACGGUCCAGACUCCUACGGGAGGCAGCAGUGGGGAAUAUUGGACAAUGGGCGCAAGCCUGAUCCAGCCAUGCCGCGUGUGUGAAGAAGGCCUUCGGGUUGUAAAGCACUUUUGUCCGGAAAGAAAAGCGCUCGAUUAAUACUCGGGUGUUAUGACGGUACCGGAAGAAUAAGCACCGGCUAACUUCGUGCCAGCCGCCGCAGUAAGAC